rnacentral:rRNA from 1 species
UACGUAGGGGGCAAGCGUUGUCCGGAUUUAUUGGGCGUAAAGAGCGUGUAGGCGGCCUGGAAGGUCAGCUGUGAAAACUCGAGGCUCAACCUCGAGACGUCGGUUGAAACCACCUGGCUAGAGUCCGGAAGAGGAGAGUGGAAUUCCCGGUGUAGCGGUGAAAUGCGCAGAUAUCGGGAAGAACACCCGUGGCGAAGGCGGCUCUCUGGGACGGUACUGAC